rnacentral:rRNA from 1 species
AUUGAACGCUGGCGGCAGGCUUUACACAUGCACGUCGAACGAGUGGCGGACGGGUGAGUAAUGUAUCGGACCCUACCUCGGGAAGGGGGAUAACUGCUCGAAACGACAGCUAAUACCGCAUAUUUUAUGAUCGGCCGAGAUGGGAUUAGCUGGUUGGCGGGGUAAAGGAUCACCAGGGCGACGAUCCAUAGCGGGUCUGAGAGGCUGAUCAGCCACACUGGAACUGAGACACGGUCCAGACUCCUACGGGAGGAAGAAGUGGGGAAUAUUGCACAAUGGGCGCAAGCCUGAGGCAGCCAUGCCGCGUGUAUGAAGAAGGCCUUAGGGUUGUAAAGUACUUUGAGCGGGGAGGCGGUACCCGCAGAAGAAGCACCGGCUAAGUACGGGCCAGCAGCCGCGGUAAUAC